GACGAACGCUGGCGGCGUGCCUAAUACAUGCAAGUUGAGCGCUUAAGGUUGGUACUUGUACCAACUGGAUGAGCAGCGAACGGGUGAGUAACGCGUGGGGAAUCUGCCUUUGAGCGGGGGACAACAUUUGGAAACGAAUGCUAAUACCGCAUAAAAACUUUAAACACAAGUUUUAAGUUUGAAAGAUGCAAUUGCAUCACUCAAAGAUGAUCCCGCGUUGUAUGAGCUAGUUGGUGAGGUAAAGGGUCACCAAGGCGAGGAAACAUAGCCGACCGUAAAGGGUAGACGGCCAAAAGGGGAAUGAGGCCCGGCCCCAGCACCUACGGGGAGCAGCCGUAGGGAAUCUUCGGCAAUGGCCGAAAUGCUGACAGAGGAACUGCGCGUGAUGUAAGGAUGUUUUCGGGUCGUAAAACUCUGUUGAGACAGGAGGACGUUGGGUAAAGUGGGACGCUCAUCAAGUGACGUUAACUACCCAGAAAGGGACGGCUAACUACGUG
rnacentral:rRNA from 1 species